rnacentral:rRNA from 1 species
UACAGAGGUCCCGAGCGUUGUUCGGAUUCACUGGGCGUAAAGGGUGCGUAGGUGGUAAGGUAAGUCGGAUGUGAAAUCUCCAAGCUCAACUUGGAAACUGCAUUGGAAACUACCUUGCUUGAGGAUUUGAGGGGGGGAUUGGAAUACUUGGUGUAGCAGUGAAAUGCGUAGAUAUCAAGUGGAACACCAGUGGCGAAGGCGAAUCCCUGGAAAAUACCUGACACUGAGGCACGAAAGCUAGGGGAGCAAACAGG